ensembl:misc_RNA Metazoa_SRP Metazoan signal recognition particle RNA
GCUGGGCAUGAUGGUGCAUGCUUGUAGUCUCAGCUACUCUGGAGGCAGGAGGAUGGCUUGAGUCCAGGACUUGUGGGCUGUAGUGUGCUAUGCCAAUUGGGGGUCCACACACGCAUUAAUAUGUUGACCAAGAAUGGGGAACCACCAGGUUGCCUAAGGAGGGGUAAAUCAACCCAGGACAGAAACAAAGCAAGUCAAAACUUCCCUGCUGAUCAGUUGUGGGAUCAAGCCUGUGAAUAGCCACUGCAAUCCAACCUGGGCGACAUAGUGAGAAUCUGU